rnacentral:misc_RNA from 1 species
UCCGUUUUGUUAACGGCAGUCUCUCUAGAGUGCCCAACUAAAUGAUGGCAACUAAAGAUAAGGGUUGCGCUCGUUGCGGGACUUAACCCAACAUCUCACGACACGAGCUGACGACAGCCAUGCACCACCUGUAUACCGACUAAAAGGGGCCAUAUCUCUAUGGCUUUCCGGCAUAUGUCAAACCCAGGUAAGGUUCUUCGCGUUGCAUCGAAUUAAUCCGCAUGCUCCGCCGCUUGUGCGGGCCCCCGUCAAUUCCUUUGAGUUUCAACCUUGCGGUCGUACUCCCCAGGCGGGGUACUUCCUGCGUUAGCGCCGGCACCCAGAGGGUCGCUCCCCCAGGCACCUAGUACCCAUCGUUUACGGCGUGGACUAC